rnacentral:rRNA from 1 species
CCUACGGGUGGCAGCAGUGGGGAAUAUUGGGCAAUGGGCGCAAGCCUGACCCAGCAACGCCGCGUGAAGGAAGAAGGCUUUCGGGUUGUAACCUUCUUUUCUGAGGGACGAAGCAAGUGAUGGUACCUCAGGAAUAAGCCACGGCUAACUACGUGCCAGCCGCCGCGGUAAUACGUAGGUGGCAAGCGUUAUCAGGAUUUAUUGGGUGUAAAGGGCGUGUAGGCGGGAAAGCAAGUCAGAUGUGAAAACUCAGGGCUCAACCCUGAGCCUGCAUUUGAAACUGUUUUUCUUGAGUGCUGGAGAGGCAAGCGGAAGUCCGAGUGUAGCGGUGAAAUGCGGAGAUAUACGGAGGAACACCAGUGGCGAAGGCGGAUUGCUGGACAGUAACUGACGCUGAGGCUCGAAAGCGUGGGGAGCAAACAGGAUUAGAUACCCGUGUAGUC